GUGCCAGCAGCCGCGGUAAUACAGAGGGUGCGAGCGUUGUCCGGAAUCACUGGGCGUAAAGGGCGCGUAGGUGGCGCCCCAAGUCAGUGGUGAAAGCUCGAUGCUCAACAUCGAGUCGGCCACUGAGACUGGGGGGCUCGAGCACUGUAGAGGCAGAUGGAAUUCCGGGUGUAGCGGUGGAAUGCGUAGAGAUCCGGAAGAACACCGGUGGCGAAGGCGGUCUGCUGGGCAGUAGCUGACACUGAGGCGCGACAGCGUGGGGAGCAAACAGGAUUAGAAACCCGCGUAGUCC
rnacentral:rRNA from 1 species